rnacentral:rRNA from 1 species
AGCAGGGGAUAACAUUUGGAAACAAAUGCUAAUACCGUAUAAUAAUUAAAACCGCAUGGUUUUAGUUUAAAGACGGUCUUGCUAUCACUAAGAGAUGGUCCCGCGGUGUAUUAGUUAGUUGGUGAGGUAAUGGCUCACCAAGACAAUGAUACAUAGCCGAGUUGAGAGACUGACCGGCCACAAUGGGACUGAGACACGGCCCAUACUCCUACGGAGGCAGCAGUAGGGAAUCUUCCACAAUGGACGAAAGUCUGAUGGAGCAACGCCGCGUGUGUGAUGAAGGGUUUCGGCUCGUAAAACACUGUUGUAAGAGAAGAAUGACAUUGAGAGUAACUGUUCAAUGUGUGACGGUAUCUUACCAGAAAGGAACGGCUAAAUACGUG